UAUGCACAACCCACACAUCUCUCUUUCAUCCUCUGCCCUUCAUCAUCCCUAGGUAGGUAUGCACAACCCACACAUCUCUCUUUCAUCCUCUGCCCUUCAUCAUCCCUAGGUAGGUAUGCACAACCCACACAUCUCUCUUUCAUCCUCUGCCCUUCAUCAUCCCUAGGUAGGUAUGCACAACCCACACAUCUCUCUUUCAUCCUCUGCCCUUCAUCAUCCCUAGGUAGGUAUGCACAACCCACACAUCUCUCUUUCAUCCUCUGCCCUUCAUCAUCCCUAGGUAGGUAUGCACAACCCACACAUCUCUCUUUCAUCCUCUGCCCUUCAUCAUCCCUAGGUAGGUAUGCACAACCCACACAUCUCUCUUUCAUCCUCUGCCCUUCAUCAUCCCUAGGUAGGUAUGCACAACCCACACAUCUCUCUUUCAUCCUCUGCCCUUCAUCAUCCCUAGGUAGGUAUGCACAACCCACACAUCUCUCUUUCAUCCUCUGCCCUUCAUCAUCCCUAGGUAGGUAUGAACAACCCACACAUCUCUUUCAUCCUCUGCCCUUCAUCAUCCCUAGGUAGGUAUGCACAACCCACACAUCUCUCUUUCAUCCUCUGCCCUUCAUCAUCCCUAGGUAGGUAUGAACAACCCACACAUCUCUCUUUCAUCCUCUGCCCUUCAUCAUCCCUAGGUAGGUAUGCACAACCCACACAUCUCUCUUUCAUCCUCUGCCCUUCAUCAUCCCUAGGUAGGUAUGCACAACCCACACAUCUCUCUUUCAUCCUCUGCCCUAUGUUCCUCUUGUUUGUAUACAUUGAUGCGCAUUCUCAAAUUAAUGAAAGGAGACCGACAGGGAUCAUUAAAAUGUAAAUCAAUUUAUAACAUUUUUGACAUGUGUUUUUCUGGAUUUUAUUGUUGUUAUUCUGUCUCACUGU